rnacentral:sRNA from 1 species
GGGAUUUAACACAAUUAAUAUGAAAGGUAAUAAAAAUGUUUGCAAACAAAUAUUUCAUUUAGUUCGGUAUUAAACUGAAAUCUGAAUUAUAGGGUAUAUUUUUACGUAUGUGAUAUUUUUUGUAUAAAUUUACUACAUGGCUGUGUUCACUUGCCAUCUCCCGCACAGGAAGCUAAAGUGCAUACACAAGCUGUUUAUUUUCUUUGUUGAUGUUGAUAAUAAAAAUGUCAGUUCU